ensembl:lncRNA
CGACGAGAUGGCCUCCCAAGCCACGUUCCUGUACGAGGUCGACGAGACGGCCUCCCAAGCCACGUUCAUGUACGAGGUCGAAGAGACGGCUUCCCAAGCCAAGUUCUUGUCCCAGGUCGAAGAGACAGCCUCCCGAGCCACGUUCAUGUCUGAGGUCGAGGAGGUGACCUCCCACGCCAUGUUCCAGUAUGAGAUCGAUGAUGUGACCUUCCGUGCCACAUUCCAGUCUGAGAUCGAAAUGUGACCUUCCAUGCCACGUUCCAGUCUGAGACCGAUGUCACGACCAACCAAGUUAUAU